rnacentral:misc_RNA from 1 species
GAUGAAGAACGUAGCGAAAUGCGAUAAGUAAUGUGAAUUGCAGAAUUCAGUGAAUCAUCGAAUCUUUGAACGCACAUUGCGCCCGCCAGCAUUCUGGCGGGCAUGCCUGUUCGAGCGUCAUUUCAACCCUCGAGCCCCCCCGGGGGCCUCGGUGUUGGGGGACGGCACACCAGCCGCCCCCGAAAUGCAGUGGCGACCACGCCGCAGCCUCCCCUGCGUAGUAGCACACACCUCGCACCGGAGCGCGGAGGCGGUCACGCCGUAAAACGCCCAACUUUCUUAGAGUUGACCUCGGAUCAGGUAGGAAUACCCGCUGAACUUAAGCAUAUCAAUAAGCGGAGGA